AUUGAACGCUGGCGGCAGGCCUAACACAUGCAAGUCGAACGGUAACAGGAAGAAGCUUGCUUCUUUGCUGACGAGUGGCGGACGGGUGAGUAAUGUCUGGGAAACUGCCUGAUGGAGGGGGAUAACUACUGGAAACGGUAGCUAAUACCGCAUAACGUCGCAAGACCAAAGAGGGGGACCUUCGGGCCUCUUGCCAUCGGAUGUGCCCAGAUGGGAUUAGCUAGUAGGUGGGGUAACGGCUCACCUAGGCGACGAUCCCUAGCUGGUCUGAGAGGAUGACCAGCCACACUGGAACUGAGACACGGUCCAGACUCCUACGGGAGGCAGCAGUGGGGAAUAUUGCACAAUGGGCGCAAGCCUGAUGCAGCCAUGCCGCGUGUAUGAAGAAGGCCUUCGGGUUGUAAAGUACUUUCAGCGGGGAGGAAGGGAGUAAGUUAAUACCUUUGCUCAUUGACGUUACCCGCAGAAGAAGCACCGGCUAACUCCGUG
rnacentral:rRNA from 1 species